rnacentral:lncRNA from 1 species
CUUAAUACUUUGUUUGUGGAGAAUAAUGUUGAGUUUGGAUCAAUAACACUAAACCAAUAGCAUAUAAUUAACAGAGAUAGGAUUACAAACCUUAAAUAUAUAUAAAUAACUAGCUGUUGGCGCGCAAGUUUUAUAGAUUUAUUUUAUUUUUUAUUAUUGUUUUUUUCUGUUUUAACAUUAUUUUAGUUUUUACUAUUGUAAUUUUUGUUAUUCCUUUUUUAUAUGAAUUGUUUUUUUUUAAAAAUUUUUUGUAUUAGUUUAGUAUUUGAAAUGUUUAUUGUUAUUUGCUAUUCGUCAGAGGUCGAUGGUAAGUUUCUAUGAUAUUUCUCUUUUUUGCUAGAUAUGAGAUUAGAGAGAGAAGGUUUCUUGUGUCUGG